rnacentral:rRNA from 1 species
UACGAAGGGGGGCUAGCGUUGCUCGGAAUCACUGGGCGUAAAGGGCGCGUAGGCGGCCAUUCAAGUCGGGGGUGAAAGCCUGUGGCUCAACCACAGAAUUGCCUUCGAUACUGUUUGGCUUGAGUUUGGUAGAGGUUGGUGGAACUGCGAGUGUAGAGGUGAAAUUCGUAGAUAUUCGCAAGAACACCAGUGGCGAAGGCGGCCAACUGGACCAAUACUGACGCUGAGGCGCGAAAGCGUGGGGGAGCAAACAGG